UCUCCCCUCAUCCUGGACCCCUCAGACAUCCAUGGAGGCUGUGGGGCACCCCACAGCAGAGCCCUCAAGGACUGGCCCUCCAUGGCAGUGAAGAAAUCCUCAAGCAUGCUCUUCAUGAAGUCGAAGCCCCAAGCCACAGCGUAAUUUCCACCACCACCACCACCAGCAGCCGUUUCACCUGCGCCAGGGCCAGGCCGAGGAG